rnacentral:rRNA from 1 species
AUUGAACGCUGGCGGCAGGCCUAACACAUGCAAGUCGAGCGGAUGAAGGGAGCUUGCUCCUGGAUUCAGCGGCGGACGGGUGAGUAAUGCCUAGGAAUCUGCCUGGUAGUGGGGGAUAACGUCCGGAAACGGGCGCUAAUACCGCAUACGUCCUGAGGGAGAAAGUGGGGGAUCUUCGGACCUCACGCUAUCAGAUGAGCCUAGGUCGGAUUAGCUAGUUGGUGGGGCAAAGGCCUACCAAGGCGACGAUCCGUAACUGGUCUGAGAGGAUGAUCAGUCACACUGGAACUGAGACACGGUCCAGACUCCUACGGGAGGCAGCAGUGGGGAAUAUUGGACAAUGGGCGAAAGCCUGAUCCAGCCAUGCCGCGUGUGUGAAGAAGGUCUUCGGAUUGUAAAGCACUUUAAGUUGGGAGGAAGGGCAGUAAGUUAAUACCUUGCUGUUUUGACGUUACCAACAGAAUAAGCACCGGCUAACUUCGU